rnacentral:lncRNA from 1 species
UCUUCAUGCCCCAUAUGGUGAACUGAAGAAAUGCUACAGGUAUUCCACUGUAUUCCUGUGACGCUUUCUUAGUAUGGAUUAACUCACAUCUGCACCACAAGAUGCAAGUAAUGCAAGUACAAACACAGUCCCUUUCCAUGCUUCUCUCCAGAAAGUGCUGCGUAUUAACAGAAAAUAUUGCAGGCAAACCACAGUUCUAUUCAUUCUGCAGCAUUGGAACCAGUGUUUUUUCCAUCACAUGCUACAAUUUUCACUUUAUCCACUUUCACAAGCUCAGUGACCUCCCUGAAUUCAACAUCAUUCAGUACAAAUGUCCAUACGUUGUCACAGAACCUGUAUGUAUUCAGAGAUCCCCUGAAAUUGACUCUGUUCCUGACUCGUUGUGCCAGUGCCGAAUUUAUAGCUUUAUCAAACUGAAGUAGCACCUGAAGGGCCAGCUGAGGAGUGAUCUGCUGUGACUGAAUGAGCUCGUCCAGGCUCUCCUGCAGGCUGUUGCCCAGCGUGGUGUUCCGGUACAGCUGAUAGGCCAUGGUUCUGUGGGGCGCUGGCGGCCUUACUGACCAUCCACGGCUCGGGACGCCUGCUGUAUCCUUGCUCUCAUUAAUAAACCAG